CCUACGGGAGGCAGCAGUGGGGAAUAUUGCACAAUGGGCGCAAGCCUGAUGCAGCGACGCCGCGUGGGGGAUGACGGCCUUCGGGUUGUAAACUCCUUUCGUUAGGGACGAAGCCACACUUUUUGGGUGUGGUGACGGUACCUUUGUUAAGAAGCACCGGCUAACUACGUGCCAGCAGCCGCGGUAAUACGUAGGGUGCGAGCGUUGUCCGGAAUUACUGGGCGUAAAGAGCUCGUAGGUGGUUUGUUGCGUCGUCUGUGAAAUUCCGGGGCUUAACUUCGGGGGGGCAGGCGAUACGGGCAUAACUCGAGUGCUGUAGGGGAGACUGGAAGUCCUGGUGUAGCGGUGGAAUGCGCAGAUAUCAGGAGGAACACCGAUGGCGAAGGCAGGUCUCUGGGCAGUAACUGACGCUGAGGAGCGAAAGCAUGGGGAGCGAACAGGAUUAGAUACCCCAGUAGUC
rnacentral:rRNA from 1 species